rnacentral:sRNA from 1 species
CCCCCCCCCCCCCCCCAAAAAAAAAAAAAAAAAUUAUCCAUGAACCCACUCUCCCCCUGAGAAAAAUUCCUGGAUCCGCGCAUUGAAAUGUGUCCUACAUUGUAUCAGAGGAUUUUAUCAGUCUCUACAGUAGGCGUCUUACCAUACACUGGCUUGUUGGUUAUUAGGGUUUGGUGUUAUUUGUCGAAGGUCAAUAAUGUAAUCUCAGUGAGAUUCUUUGAGACUAAAAUUGUACUCGCUGUUGUCAUUUCAAGACUUGUCAAUACAAAAAUAAUAGUCUCGGCGAAUCUCUUGAGAUAAGGUCAUGUGACCACACUAUUUUGAAACAUUCCACUUGUUAGAUUUAGGCCUUACCCAUCUGCAGGAGACAAUCUGCACUGUGCUUUUCUAUUUGUUAUAUGUAAAUACCUGGUCAUAUCACACCUGGCUACAGCAACACUCAAACAUUCCAUUAUAGUUUAGGAUUUUUUUUGUCUGUAUUUUUUUUUCAGACUUUGACUUUUAUAUAGUCUUUGUUUAUUUGUUUAUAUGCAUGGAAAUUGUAACUUUGUUAUUAUGUAGCAUGUUUGAAAUGAACCAAAUGGUGGUAUAUAUAGGUGCCAAAGUAAAGGUCAUUUUUUACAUUCUAUUUUAAACAAAAUUCAAAUUCCUUUAUGAAUACGCAAAAAAACUAAAUAGUGAAGUAAUUUGUAGGCAUUGCACUUCUAUUUUCUGAUUAUCUUGACUAAAAUUGUUCAUUUUAAAAUGAAUAUUUGAUUUCUUUUCUCACUUAACAAUUUUGUUUGGUUAUAUUGAGAACCAUGAUAUUGGAUAAGGAAUGAAAGAAAUAAGAUAAUAAUUGGCAUAAAAUGCUGCACUCUGCAAGUUUGAUUUUUUGUUUUACAUUGAUCACUUUGUUAAUUUUGCAAAAAAUUUAAUGUUUGAACUUUGUCAUGCUUUACUGCUGCAGUAAUGGUGCUGUGUGGAGAUUUCAAGUGUACAUGUACUGCCUCUGUCUGUCUGUGUGUCCGUCGUCCAUGAAGAGUUACGCCCCUUGUGUCAAAAUGGCUUCAUGUUUUAUUAUUAUGGGAGUGCAAGGUGUGGUGUGUUGAUACGCAUGUAAAAAGAAUAUUUGGACGUGUUAUAUUUUGUAUAAAUGGAAAGAAGUUUUCAUCUGUUCUCUGGUGUAUGUUACAUUUUGCACAUAAGAUGGUGUUUAUUAUAGUGAAUUUUUUUUCUGAUAAUAAAAAAUCAUUAGCAAUUAAUGGUUAGAGACAAUGGACUGAGGUUUGAAAGAAACGAAAAAUCUAAACCUAUGCAAAUCACUUCUGAUUGAUUUAGCAUUUAUAAAUGAAAUAGGUUACCGUUUAGCAGCUAAGUGUCAUGUGAAGAACUCUCGAGGAUAAAAAGAUGACAAUAUUAAGACUUAAGUGUUGGAUUUUAAACGUAUAUUAAUGUGUGUACAUGUGGCAUAAAUGGAGAUGUUAUGUAUUAGAAUUGUGUCAAAUUAUGUUCAACUCAACGAUUUUUUUCCCAUGUUUGUAUAUUGUUGAAAUAUGAAUGCAUAUAUUAUUUUUGUAAAUAUUUGUUACGGAAAUUCUAAUCAGUUUAUACCAAUGGUACAUGUAUGUACAUUAUCGGAUUAAUAUUUAAGAGUUAUGUGUUUCAUUCCAACAAGAGAGGUAUAUUAAUAAAAUAUUUAACAAAUUU